rnacentral:rRNA from 1 species
CCUACGGGAGGCAGCAGUGGGGAAUCUUCCGCAAUGGGCGCAAGCCUGACGGAGCAACGCCGCGUGAGUGAAGAAGGUCUUCGGAUCGUAAAGCUCUGUUGUCGGGGACGAAAGGAAAGGGGAGGCAAUGCCCCUUUUAAGACGGUACCCGACGAGGAAGCCACGGCUAACUACGUGCCAGCAGCCGCGGUAAUACGUAGGCGGCAAGCGUUGUCCGGAAUUAUUGGGCGUAAAGGGAGCGCAGGUGGGACGGUAAGUCUGUCUUAAAAGGCAAGGGCUCAGCCCCUGUAAGGGACAGAAACUAUCGUUCUUGAGUGCCGGAGAGGAAAGCGGAAUUCCCAGUGUAGCGGUGAAAUGCGUAGAUAUUGGGAAGAACACCAGUGGCGAAGGCGGCUUUCUGGACGGCAACUG